UAUAUGUUCACCAGUAAGUUAUAUGUAGGUAGGGCCUAGACAGUUGAUGGAUAUGUAGGUAGGGCCUAGACAGUUGAUGGAUAUGAAGGUAGGGCCUAGACAGUUGAUGAAUAUGUAGGUAGGGCCUAGACGGUUGAUGGAUAUGAAGGUAGGGCCUAGACAGUUGAUGGAUAUGUAGGUAGGGCCUAGACAGUUGAUGCAUAUGUAGGUAGGGCCUAGACAGUUGAUGCAUAUGUAGGUAGGGCCUAGACAGUUGAUGGACAUGUAGGUAGGGCCUAGACAGUUGAUGCAUAUGUAGGUAGUGCCUAGACAGUUGAUGCAUAUGUAGGUAGGGCCUAGACAGUUGAUGGAUAUGUAGGUAGGGCCUCGACAGUUGAUGCAUAUGUAGGUAGGGCCUAGACAGUUGAUGGAUAUGUAGGUAGGGCCUAGACAGUUGAUGGGUAUGUAGGUAGGGCCUAGACAGUUGAUGGAUAUGUAGGUAGGGCCUAGACAGUUGAUGAAUAUGUAGGUAGGGCCUAGACAGUUGAUGGAUAUGUAGGUAGGGCCUAGACAGUUGAUGGAUAUGUAGGCAGUGCCUAGACAGUUGAUGCAUAUGUAGGUAGGGCCUAGACGGUUGAUGGAUAUGAAGGUAGGGCCUAGACAGUUGAUGAAUAUGUAGGUAGGGCCUAGACGGUUGAUGGAUAUGAAGGUAGGGCCUAGACAGUUGAUGGAUAUGAAGGUAGGGCCUAGACAGUUGAUGGAUAUGUAGGUAGGGCCUCGACAGUUGAUGCAUAUGUAGGUAGGGCCUAGACAGUUGAUGGAUAUGUAGGUAGGGCCUAGACAGUUGAUGGGUAUGUAGGUAGGGCCUAGACAGUUGAUGGAUAUGUAGGUAGGGCCUAGACAGUUGAUGCAUAUGUAGGUAGGGCCUAGACAGUUGAUGGAUAUGUAGGUAGGGCCUAGACGGUUGAUGGAUAUGAAGGUAGGGCCUAGACAGUUGAUGGAUAUGUAGGUAGGGCCUCGACAGUUGAUGCAUAUGUAGGUAGGGCCUAGACAGUUGAUGGAUAUGUAGGUAGGGCCUAGACAGUUGAUGGGUAUGUAGGUAGGGCCUAGACAGUUGAUGGAUAUGUAGGUAGGGCCUAGACAGUUGAUGCAUAUGUAGGUAGGGCCUAGACAGUUGAUGGAUAUGUAGGUAGGGCCUAGACAGUUGAUGGAUAUGUAGGUAGGGCCUAGACAGUUGAUGGAUAUGUAGGUAGGGCCUAGACAGUUGAUGGAUAUGUAGGUAGGGCCUAGACAGUUGAUGGAUAUGUAGGUAGGGCCUAGACAGUUGAUGGAUAUGUAGCUAGGGCCUAGACAGUUGAUGGAUAUGUAGCUAGGGCCUAGACAGUUGAUGGAUAUGUAGCUAGGGCCUAGACAGUUGAUGGAUAUGAAGCUAGGGCCUAGACAGUUGAUGGAUAUGAAGCUAGGGCCUAGACAGUUAAUGGAUAUGUAGCUAGGGCCUAGACAGUUGAUGGAUAUGAAGCUAGGGCCUAGACAGUUGAUGGAUAUGAAGCUAGGGCCUAGACAGUUGAUGGAUAUGUAGCUAGGGCCUAGACAGUUGAUGGAUAUGAAGCUAGGGCCUAGACAGUUGAUGGAUAUGUAGCUAGGGCCUAGACAGUUGAUGGAUAUGUAGGUAGGGCCUAGACAGUUGAUGGAUAUGUAGGUAGGGCCUAGACGGUUGAUGGAUAUGUAGGUAGGGCCUAGACGGUUGAUGCAUAUGUAGGUAGGGCCUAGACAGUUGAUGGAUAUGUAGGUAGGGCCUAGACGGUUGAUGGAUAUGUAGGUAGGGCCUAGACGGUUGAUGCAUAUGUAGGUAGGGCCUAGACAGUUGAUGGAUAUGUAGGUAGGGCCUAGACAGUUGAUGGAUAUGUAGGUAGGGCCUAGACAGUUGAUGGAUAUGUAGGUAGGGCCUAGACAGUUGAUGGGUAUGUAGGUAGGGCCUAGACAGUUGAUGCAUAUGUAGGUAGGGCCUAGACAGUUGAUGCACCUUCAUUUGCCAGAGACAGACAGAUAGACAGGGUGGAAGUGGUAGCCUACAUCUCUAAGGGAUGGAGGUAGGGCUGGGGCUUGUGUUCUACAUCUGAAAGUAAAACCACAGCACGGCUGACAUGUUGAAUCUACGGUGAGAACAUCGACAUAAACACCUUCUUCUUAUGUGCAACUUUUUUUUUAAUGACAAAGCAAAUUCUUUUAACAUUCUGUGAUUUUCUGCCAUUUUAAUUAACAUAUUAGUUUAAACUAUUUUGUCCUUCUCUUUAUGUGCUGUCUGUCUGUCACUACUUGUCAAUGUGUUUUGUUCUAUUUCUGUAUCCCCAUUUUGACAGGAAGCUUCAUGAUGCAAUAGCAGAUGUAAAACCAAACUCACUCUCUUCCUGUCAGAAAUCAGAAGAGCUUAAAUAGGAAAUGAAAUAGGAAAUGAAAUGCUGUCAAACAUGAAAUCAUUACAUGUCUCUUGCAUGCUUGUCUCUUGGUAAAACUGAAAAACUAAAUGCACAAAAAAAUGCAAUGACAUAUAUAGUUUGAAUGUACCUAUCCUAUUCUACCUAGAAAAUAGAACAAAACUUUGCUGAUUUGUUAGCAGAUUCAUUUUCAGGUAAGCGUUAUGCAGGUUGUAGUUAGAACACUGCACCUUCACUGACAUUUAGUGCAAUUACUUCCUGAAAGUUACUUCCUGAAAGUGUUUGUUUUUGUUUUUCUGUCUUUGUUAUUAUUUUCCAUCUCAUGUGAUAUUUUUCUGUC